rnacentral:rRNA from 1 species
CUGGCGGCGUGCUUAACACAUGCAAGUCGAGCGGAAAGGCCACUUCGGUGGUACUCGAGCGGCGAACGGGUGAGUAACACGUGAGUAAUCUGCCCCUGGCUUCGGGAUAGCCACCGGAAACGGUGAUUAAUACCGGAUAUGACAGACCCUCGCAUGGGGGUGUGUGGAAAGUUUUUCGGCCAGGGAUGUGCUCGCGGCCUAUCAGCUUGAUGGUGAGGUAAUGGCUCACCAUGGCUUCGACGGGUAGCCGGCCUGAGAGGGUGACCGGCCACACUGGGACUGAGACACGGCCCAGACUCCUACGGGAGGCAGCAGUGGGGAAUAUUGGACAAUGGGCGGAAGCCUGAUCCAGCAACGCCGCGUGAGGGAUGACGGCCUUCGGGUUGUAAACCUCUUUCAGUACCGACGAAGCGCAAGUGACGGUAGGUACAGAAGAAGCACCGGCCAACUACGUGCCAGCAGCCGCGGUAAUACGUAGGGUGCGAGCGUUGUCCGGAAUUAUUGGGCGUAAAGGGCUCGUAGGCGGUUUGUCGCGUCGGGAGUGAAAACGCCGUGCUUAACACGGCGCUUGCUUCCGAUACGGGCAGACUAGAGGUAUUCAGGGGAGAACGGAAUUCCUGGUGUAGCGGUGAAAUGCGCAGAUAUCAGGAGGAACACCGGUGGCGAAGG